CUUGGACUUCAGUUCACUGGUGGCCUCUGUUUUCUCCUGCUUCUCCUGUUGCUGCUCUUCUGCUGCAGACAGCAUAAAGGUGCAGUUCAACAGAGGAAGACAAGAGUCAUAGAGCAAGAAGAGGCCCCAAAUCAUGAGGAAUCUCACAUGGAAAGUUCAUUACCAAUGCCGGUAUCCACAAUUUAUGCAAGGAUUGGAGAAGACACUGGGCAGAGGCAGCGCAGAUCAGAGUCACAGACUGAAUAUGCCUCUAUAAGCUUCUCUUAACAGCAGCUGUAACCCCAACAUGCAGAACUGGUUUUAGGCAUGAUCAGCACAUGUAGUUACUCUGGGAGCCAUGCAGUUCAGGAGCUGUGCUGUAAAUAACAAGAUUAUCGUAUUUAAUGGGAAUGGUGCAUAGUGGCAAUAUUGUUUAGAUGGUUUUUCCAGACUUCUGACCUUUCCAGAAGAGUGUAUUAUACACAUGUAAAUAGAUGAUGGAUUAAAUCUAAAGCGUCUUUGUGAAUUCAGGACUCAUCUGUUUUAAGGUGCAGCUUGAGGCACUGAAGCCUGUAGAUUAUCAUCACUGUCUCUUCAAUACUGGGGUAAAGCCUGGAGGCCCCAGUCAGGGAUCAGGAUACUAUUUUGCCAAGCAAUGUACAAACACAACCUAAAGAUGGUUCCAGCCCCAAAGCAUGUGGGACAUCUGAAGCACUAAUAUGGGUUCCAUUGACAUGUAUCCUGUGUGCCCCUGCUCCACUAGCUCUCUGGGUGCAUAUGGUAUGUAAUAUGUGUAGCAUUUGGAGCCACCGGGUGAUAUCCAGAAUAAGAAAUUUACUGUACCUUGUUCUAGGCUCUGCUGUUGUCUGUGUACUCCAUGAAAAUCUUGAAACGAGCUGCUCUUUAUUCAUUCUAAAGUAAUUUUGAAAACACAGAGUGAAGAUAAAAGGAAUUGGGUGUGUGGGGUGUGGAAUUUCUACUUAUCUCGAGAAGAAAGGAUCUUCCUUUUGCAACUGUUUAAAUUUUUCAUUUGGCAGGAUGCUAAUGUCCCCGAGAUCCCCUUAAUUUGGGAGCCUGGAAAUGUAACAGAGAAGCUUAGAUUCUUUUUAAAGUAAGUUUCUUUCCCUUUCACUGUGAAGACACCCUUGAUACAUUAAACUGAUACAACUGGUGCCGAACAUUUGUUGUUUAUUUUUCCUGGCAUCACAGCCUCUCCAUGG